rnacentral:rRNA from 1 species
GCCAGCAGCCAUAUCACCCUGCAACUUGCGACUGGCAGCCCACUGAAGCUCAGCAGGUGUGAGCCUGGUCAGUACCUGGAUGGGAGACCUCCUGGGAAAAACUAAGGUUGCUGCUGGAA